rnacentral:rRNA from 1 species
GACCUCGGAUCAGGUAGGGAUACCCGCUGAACUUAAGCAUAUCAAUAAGCGGAGGAAAAGAAACCAACAGGGAUUACCUCAGUAACGGCGAGUGAAGCGGUAACAGCUCAAAUUUGAAAGCUAGCUCUUUUAGGGUUCGCAUUGUAAUUUGUAGAAGAUGCUUCGGGUGUGGCCCCGGUCUAAGUUCCUUGGAACAGGACGUCAUAGAGGGUGAGAAUCCCGUAUGUGACUGGGUGCUUUCGCUCAUGUGAAGCUCUUUCGACGAGUCGAGUUGUUUGGGAAUGCAGCUCAAAAUGGGUGGUAAAUUUCAUCUAAAGCUAAAUAUUGGCCAGAGACCGAUAGCGCACAAGUAGAGUGAUCGAAAGAUGAAAAGCACUUUGGAAAGAGAGUUAAACAGUACGUGAAAUUGUUGAAAGGGAAGCGC